CACGCCGUAAACGAUGAUUACUAGGUGUGGGGGGACUGACCCCUUCCGUGCCGCAGUUAACACAAUAAGUAAUCCACCUGGGGAGUACGGCCGCAAGGUUGAAACUCAAAGGAAUUGACG
rnacentral:rRNA from 1 species